rnacentral:rRNA from 1 species
ACGGCCAUACCACAUUGAAAACACCGGUUCUCAUCAGAUCACCAAAGUUAAGCAAUGUCCGGCCCGGUCAGUACUUGGGAGGGUGACCACCUGGAAGUAACUGUAGGCUUCUC